UGCCGCUGCCAUCCCAACCUGAGCAACACCUAGUCUCAUCUGAUUUUGGAAGCUAAGCAAGAUCAGGCCUAGUCAGUACCUGAAGGAGAGCCAUUACCAGUCACAGUUGACA
rnacentral:rRNA from 1 species